CCCUGGUUGAUCCUGCCAGUAGUUAUAUGCUUGUCUCAAAGAUUAAGCCAUGCAUGUCUCAGUGCAAGCCGUAUUAAGGCGAUACCGCGAAUGGCUCAAUAUAUCAGUUUUGGUUCCUUAGAUCUUACUCAGUUACUUGGAUAACUGUGGUAAUUCUAGAGCUAAUACAUGCAAUCAGAACUCUGACCAGUGAUGGGAUGAGUGCUUUUAUUAGAUCAAAACCAAUCGACGGAGGGCCUCGCGUCCGAAGUCGUUAAUUUUGAUGAAUCUGGAUAACUUUUGCCGAUCGCAUGGUCCAGUACCGGCGACGCAUCUUUCAAAUGUCUGCCUUAUCAACUUUCGAUGGUAGUUUCUGCGACUACCAUGGUUGUCACGGGUAACGGGGAAUCAGGGUUCGAUUCCGGAGAGGGAGCCUGAGAAACGGCUACCACAUCCAAGGAAGGCAGCAGGCGCGCAAAUUACCCACUCCCGGCACGGGGAGGUAGUGACGAAAAAUAACGAUACGGGACUCUUACGAGGCCUCGUAAUCGGAAUGAGUACACUUUAAAUAUUUUAACGAGGAACAAUUGGAGGGCAAGUCUGGUGCCAGCAGCCGCGGUAAUUCCAGCUCCAAUAGCGUAUACUAAAAUUGUUGCGGUUAAAAAGCUCGUAGUUGCAUUUGUGCGCCGCGCUGUCGGUGCACCGCAUCCGCGGUGAUACUGACACGUCUGCGGAGCAUAUCGUCGGUGAGCCGUCGGUUAAACGUCGGUUCAAUAUCAAAAUCCUAUCGCGGUGCUCUUCAAUGAGUGUCGAGGUGGGCCGACAAUUUUACUUUGAACAAAUUAGAGUGCUCAAAGCGGGCUCAAAAUGCUGCUUGAAUAUUUCGUGCAUGGAAUAAUAGAAUAUGAUCUCGGUUCUAUUUUGUUGGUUUUCAGAACUCCGAGGUAAUGAUUAAUAGGGAUAACUGGGGGCAUUCGUAUUGCGACGUUAGAGGUGAAAUUCUUGGAUCGUCGCAAGACGAACAUCAGCGAAAGCAUUUGCCAAAGGUGUUUUCAUCAAUCAAGAACGAAAUGUAAGUAACAGAUGGCGAGAGGCGAUCGCAUCGAUUCUUGCGUUCGCUUCGUUGUCACGCGACGCGAUGAAUAUGUGUACAAUACGUAUGUGUGUAUAUGAUGUGAUUCGCGGAGUGUGGCGACGUGUGAUGUGCGAGAUGAUGUGAUGUGUGGUGCGGUGUCCGAUGUUUUUCGAAAUUUUCGUUUUGUCGCGCUUUUAACACUUAAUAAUACACAACGGUGUUGUGUUGUUUAUGUGCGGAUUGUGCGUUCGAAGCGAAGAGCGGAAAACACGAGAAUGUGUCGUUAUGUAUUUAUAUGUAACGCGUGUUCGCAGACUACCAAACCACGCUCUCUAUCGUUUCUCUUAUUGAACUGUGCCGGCCGACGGAACGUGUAUGUGCUCGUGUCCGUUAUAAUCGGUCGAACUUAGUAAACAUUAUGAACGUGGCGACGGUACGACAACGCCGGCGCUCGGACGCGCGACGUGUUGCCCGUCGACGCCCUCGUCACGUUCGAUCAUUGCAAUAAUAUAUUGUGUUCGCCGCAUGGGUGAGGCGCUCUACAACCACCGGGCGGAAUCGUGUAUGGUUUCAACGAUUGUGUAAGCUGAUCUUAUACAAACGUGAAAUCGUCUCGGUACGAACGUUCCAUAAAGGGGCCUGUCGUCUCGGCCUCGCCGCCGAGACGUAGCGUCCUCAGUGCGACCGCAGCGCGUCUCUUCAUCGCGUUGAGAUAUACGCGUAGAGACGUUCGCGUGCCGCGAAACAAACAACAAUCCGAA
rnacentral:rRNA from 1 species